UUUCUAACAAAAUAUAAAAAUAAUACAUACUAUGUGCAAGAACAUGAGGAAACAGGUACUGUCAUACAUUACUGUUGUUGAGGAAACAGGUACAAUAUGACUUAGAGCAAUUAGGGCUGGGUACGACGGCACACACCUAUAAUCCCAGCACUUUGGGAGACCGAGGGAUCUCUUGAGCGCAGAAGUUCAAGACCAGCCUGGGCAACACAGUGAAACCCAGUUGCUACUAAAAAUAGAAAAAUUAGCCAGGUAUGGUGGCGCACGCCUAUAGUACCAUCUACUUGGGGCGCUGAGGCACGAGAACAACUUGAACCAGGGAGGCAGAGGUUGCAGUGAGCCAAGAUCACACUACUGCACUGCAGACUGGUUGACAGAG